AUGAACGCUAGCGACAGGCCUAACACAUGCAAGUCAGGGGCAGCACAAGGAGCAAUCUGAGGUGGCGACCGGCGCACGGGUGAGUAACACGUAUGCAACCUGCCUGUAAGCGGGGAAUAACCCGUUGAAAGACGGACUAAUACCGCAUAAUACUAAAUUACUGCAUGGUAAUUUAUUUAAACAUUUAUGGCUUACAGAUGGGCAUGCGCAUGAUUAGCUAGUUGGAGAGGUAACGGCUCCCCAAGGCAACGAUCAUUAGGGGUUCUGGGAGGAAGGUCCCCCACACUGGUACUGAGACACGGACCAGACUCCUACGGGAGGCAGCAGUGAGGAAUAUUGGUCAAUGGACGAGAGUCUGAACCAGCCAAGUCGCGUGCAGGAAGAAUGUCCUAUGGAUUGUAAACUGCUUUUGCAGGGGAAUAAAGUGCAUCACGUGUGAUGUUUUGUAUGUACUCUGCGAAUAAGGAUCGGCUAACUCCGUGCCAGCAGCAGC
rnacentral:rRNA from 1 species